AGACCAGUGAGGAGUAAUUCAAACGCAAAGCCUUUGGAGUCGAAACACGGACAGACGCCCAAGGGCUUUUGCAA
rnacentral:sRNA from 1 species